GGGGGGGGGGGGGCAAUUUCAACAUAGUGUCCUUUUGUUACUUUUUCAAGACUCAAUAAAGAUUUAUUUUCAUUAUCAGUGUAACAAGGACACUAGUAACGAUUUUAGGUAGCACAUUUUUGCUCCUCUAUUUACUUCCCUUUAAUCUAUAUACAAUACUUCUUAGGACUUGUGGGUAUUUUUUUCUUUUACUUUUAUUGUCAAUUUUUCUUUCAUUGCCAGUCUAGGAACACCCUUAGGGGAUUUUCCUUUUUCAUUUAGUUCAU